AGCAACCAACAACACAAAAAUGAAAAGGAAUAGCUAACUAUCUCCCGUGCCACAUAUGAGGAACUACACAUGGGCCCUAGGCUUUGUAGCUCUUGUAGCCAUAGCCACCACUUUGGUCUCAGGCCAUGCAACCAGGAGUUACAUAGGUGCAACUGACAUGUGUGCAGCUGGAGCUGACGACCACUGUUCGCCACCAGAACGAGCUACUGGUAACAUUCUGUGCAAGGCUUGCUGCGCUGCCCAAGGUUAUGACAGGGAUAAGAGCAGUUGUUGUCCAGGCAGAAGUAGCUCCUGCUGCUGUGUAAAGGACUGAGAAGUGCCAUGAAAUGAGUUUAUAUAUUUGCUAGAAAUAUUGCCUGAAGGAGAAUGAAUAAAUAGUUUGGGUGAACUUUAUUUAGUUCAUACAAAACAAUCAAUAAACCAUUGAGAAUUGUUGAUUUA